UUCAAAUUAUUUUUAAAAAAAGAAAAUCCCACAAUAUCUGCUUUGAAAUGGGUUAUCUGAGUCCAUACUUAGAUAAUGUGGGAUGAACAUGCCUUGAUAUUCUGGGAUAUAGGGCUGUGUGGAAGGGUUCUGGGUUAUAUGGGUCUGUGUGGAAGGGCCCAGAGAAGGAUGUGGUCCAGAGUGCAAAAUCAUGGGAUGCUGACUGCCUCCUGCUCCUCCUCGGUACCUCCCCUGGUUUGCCAAAGCCGCCCUUUCCUCUCCUCCUCCUCCAUCCCUCCCUCCCUCCUUCUCUCCUUCUCUCCCUCCCUCCUUCUGCCUCUCCUCCCUCCUCCAAUCGCAGCCUCCCUUACUGCCUGGUGGGCUGAGUGAGCUGCAGCCCCAUCGCCCAGCUGAUCCCAGCCGCCUCGGCCAUGGCAGCACCAGAUUCAGGCAGUGGCCCUCCUCCUGGGCAGCCUGCCCCAUUUCCCCCUGCCCCACCACCUCCACCAAUUCUGCCUCCUCCCUUUAUGCCUCCUCCUGGGAUCCCACCACCCUUUCCCCCAAUGGGAUUACCACCAAUGGGACCACGCCCACCCCCCAUGCCACCCAUGCCCCCAGGUAUGAUGCCACCUCCCCCAUUGAUCCCACCCAUGCCUGGACCGCCACCUUUGGGACAGAUUCCCACUAUGGUGCCACCCAUGCUGCCUGGGAUGAUGAUGCCUGGGGUGCCAGCAGGGCCUGUUCCUGUCACUGGAGGGGCAGCUCCUGUGACUGACCCAUCCAAUGGUAAGGAUCCGGAGCAGUACCUAUUGAUCUACUCACAUUUGCAUGUUUUCGAACUGCUAGGUUGGCAGAAGCUGGGGCUAACAGCAGGUGCUCACUCCGCUCCCCAGAUUCAAAUCUGCGACCUUUUGGUCCGCAAGUUCAGCAGCUCAGCACUUUAUCAC
rnacentral:lncRNA from 1 species